rnacentral:rRNA from 1 species
UGGCGGACGGGGGAGUAAUGUCUGGGAAACUGCCCGAUGGAGGGGGAUAACUACUGGAAACGGUAGCUAAUACCGCAUAAUGUCUACGGACCAAAGCGGGGGACUUCCGGGCCUCGCGCCAUCAGAUGAACCCAUAUGGGAUUAGCUAGUAGGUAAGGUAACGGCUUACCUAGGCGACGAUCCCUAGCUGGUCUGAGAGGAUGAUCAGCCACACUGGGACUGAGACACGGCCCAG